rnacentral:RNase_P_RNA from 1 species
GGUAUGGCGGUUGCUCAGAAGGUUAGCUUUCUGAGAGGAAAGUCCGGACUCCACCGAGAAGAAUGCUGGAUAACAUCCAGGGCUUGGUUUGUGAAAACAUGCCAAGUACGGAAAGUGCCACAGAAACUAAACAGCCAAUUGGCAACGGUGAAAACGGGAGGUAAGAGCUUCCGGCAUGCAUGGUGACAUGUAUGUGGGCAAACCCCAUUCGGAGCAAGGCCAAAUAGGAGGGUAAAUAUGUCUCGGCUAUGGCCCUCGGGUAGGCUGCUAGAGCCCAAUGGUAACAUUGGGUCGAGAUAGAUGACCGUCACAGCUAUUAGCGUUCUAUCGCUUAUUUGAGCAUUAGAUUGUGAAGGGCUGUACAGAAUCCGGCUUAUAUACUC